GGUCCCGUGGCUCAGUGAAGAGCGUCCCCGUUCACACCGGGGAGGUCGCUGGUUCGAUCCAGCCGGGACCA
rnacentral:tRNA from 1 species